AUUUUUAUAAUUUUAAAUUUUGUUUAAAAGCCAUGUGUAAUGCAUGCACAUGGCAGUGCUAAUGUGAAUGCAGUGAAUGUGCAUUCACAUUAGUACAGUAACCUACAUCAUGUAGGUUACUGUGCUAACGUGAAUUUAUUCAGUCCGUGCGCUUGUUCGGCAGUGGUAGUGUCGAACUAGAACUGCUCCCUCGCCUAUAAAUACUUCCAUGAUUCACUCUAUAACUCACAACAAAUCACUCCAUUGUAUCUCAAAAAAUUUCUUUCUCUAAAUUAUUUCUUCCCCUCAACAAAUUUCACAAAAUUUUUAUUUCUACUGUUAUCGAUUCAAUUACAAAAGAAG
rnacentral:lncRNA from 1 species